AUAGCGUAUAUUAAAGUUGUUGCAGUUAAAAAGCUCGUAGUUGAAUUUCUGGCUAGCUGUAUGCUGUGGCUCUGCCCGGUAUAUGGUUUAGUCAUCCGUAAGGGAAGCCAGUUCGGCCUUCACUGGUCGGCUGGGGGAACUUACAAUUUACUGUGAGAAAAUUAGAGUGUUUAAGGCAGGCAAUCGCUUGGAUACUCCAGCACGGAAUAAUGGAAUAGGACUUUAGUCGAUUUGUUGGUUUGAGGCUAAAGUAAUGAUUAAUAGGGACAGUUGGGGGCAUUCGUAUUUAAUUGUCAGAGGUGAAAUUCUUGGAUUUAUUAAAGACGAACUUAUG
rnacentral:rRNA from 1 species